rnacentral:rRNA from 1 species
GCAGUCGACGGUACAGGUCUUCGGAUGCUGACGAGUGGCGAACGGGUGAGUAAUAUAUCGGAACGUGCCCAGUCGUGGGGGAUAACGUAGCGAAAGUUACGCUAAUACCGCAUACGAUCUAAGGAUGAAAGCGGGGGAUCGCAAGACCUCGCGCGAUUGGAGCGGCCGAUAUCAGAUUAGGUAGUUGGUGGGGUAAAGGCUCACCAAGCCAACGAUCUGUAGCUGGUCUGAGAGGACGACCAGCCACACUGGAACUGAGACACGGUCCAGACUCCUACGGGAGGCAGCAGUGGGGAAUUUUGGACAAUGGACGCAAGUCUGAUCCAGCCAUUCCGCGUGCAGGAUGAAGGCCCUCGGGUUGUAAACUGCUUUUGUACGGAACGAAAAGGUCUCUCCUAAUACGAGGGGCUCAUGACGGUACCGUAAGAAUAAGCACCGGCUAACUACGUGCCAGCAGCCGCGGUAAUACGUAGGGUGCAAGCGUUAAUCGGAAUUACUGGGCGUAAAGCGUGCGCAGGCGGUUAUAUAAGACAGAUGUGAAAUCCCCGGGCUCAACCUGGGAACUGCAUUUGUGACUGUAUAGCUAGAGUACGGUAGAGGGGGAUGGAAUUCCGCGUGUAGCAGUGAAAUGCGUAGAUAUGCGGAGGAACACCGAUGGCGAAGGCAAUCCCCUGGACCUGUACUGACGCUCAUGCACGAAAGCGUGGGGAGCAAACAGGAUUAGAUACCCUGGUAGUCCACGCCCUAACGAUGUCAACUGGUUUGUGGGUCUCACUGACUC